AUGAGGAAGCGGAGACAGAGGAAGUGGAGACAGAAGAAGCGGAGACAGAGGAAGCGGAGACAGAGGAAGCGGAGACAGAGGAAGCAGAGACAGAGGAAGCGGAAAAGGAUGAGGAAGCGGAGACAGAGGAAGUGGAGACAGAAGAAGCGGAGACAGAGGAAGCGGAGACAGAGGAAGCGGAGACAGAGGAAGCGGAGACAGAAGAAGCGGAGACAGAAGAAGCGGAGACAGAGGAAGCGGAGAGGGAGGAGACAGAGGAAGCAGAGACCGAGGAAGCAGAGACAGAGGAAGCAGAGACAGAGGAAGCAGAGACAGAAGAAGCGGAGACAGAAGAAGCGGAGACAGAGGAAGCGGAGACAGAGCAAGCGGAGACAGAAGAAGCGGAGACAGAGGAAGCGGAGACAGAGGAAGCGGAGACAGAGGAAGCGGAGACAGAAGAAGCGGAGACAGAGGAAGCGGAGACGGAAGAAGCGGAGACAGAAGAAGCGGAGACAGAGGAAGCGGAGACAGAAGAAGCGGAGACAGAGGAAGCGGAGACAGAAGAAGCGGAGACAGAAGAAGCGGAGACAGAGGAAGCGGAGAAGGAUUAAGUGGAGAGGGAGGAAGCAAAGAAAGAGAAAGAAGCAGAGAGGGAGGAAGCGGAGACAGAGGAAGCGGAGACAGAAGAAGCGGAGACAGAGGAAGCGGAGACAGAGGAAGCGGAGACAGAAGCGGAGACAGAGGAAGCGGAGACAGAGGAAGCGGAGACAGAGGAAGCGGAGACAGAGGAAGCGAAGAAAGAGAAAGAAGCAGAGAGGGAGGAAGCGGAGAAGGAGGAAGCGGAGAGGGAGGAAGCGGAGAAGGAUUAAGUGGAGAGGGAGGAAGCGAAGAAAGAGAAAGAAGCAGAGAGGGAGGAAGCGGAGACAGAGGAAGCGGAGACAGAAGAAGCGGAGACAGAAGAAGCGGAGACAGAGGAAGCGAAGAGGGAGGAGACAGAGGAAGCAGAGACAGAGGAAGCAGAGACAGAGGAAGCGGAGAAGGAGGAGGAAGCGGAGACGGAGGAGGAAGCGGAGACAGAGGAAGCGGAGACAGAGGAAGCGGAGACAGAGGAAGCGGAGACAGAGGAAGCGGAAAAGGAUGAGGAAGCGGAGACAGAGGAAGUGGAGACAGAAGAAGCGGAGACAGAGGAAGCGGAGACAGAGGAAGCGGAGACAGAGGAAGCAGAGACAGAGGAAGCGGAAAAGGAUGAGGAAGCGGAGACAGAGGAAGUGGAGACAGAAGAAGCGGAGACAGAGGAAGCGGAGACAGAGGAAGCGGAGACAGAGGAAGCGGAGACAGAAGAAGCGGAGACAGAAGAAGCGGAGACAGAGGAAGCGGAGAGGGAGGAGACAGAGGAAGCAGAGACCGAGGAAGCAGAGACAGAGGAAGCAGAGACAGAGGAAGCAGAGACAGAAGAAGCGGAGACAGAAGAAGCGGAGACAGAGGAAGCGGAGACGGAGGAAGCCGAGACGGAAGAAGCGGAGACGGAAGAAGCGGAGACGGAAGAAGCGGAGACGGAGGAAGCGGAGACGGAGGAAGCGGAGACGGAAGAAGCGGAGACGGAAGAAGCGGAGACGGAAGAAGCGGAGACGGAAGAAGCGGAGACGGAGGAAGCGGAGACGGAGGAAGCGGAGACGGAAGAAGCGGAGACGGAAGAAGCGGAGACGGAGGAAGCGGAGACGGAGGAAGCGGAGACGGAGGAAGCGGAGAGGGAAGAGACAGAGGAAGCAGAGACAGAGGAAGCAGAGACAGAAGAAGCGGAGACAGAAGAAGCGGAGACAGAAGAAGCGGAGACAGAAGAAGCGGAGAAGGAGGAGGAAGCGGAGACAGAGGAAGCGGAGACAGAGGAAGCGACACACAGCUAAAUACAGUUUGAUCUAG
ensembl:lncRNA